GCCCAUCAGCCUACGGGAGGCAGCAGUAGGGAAUCUUCCGCAAUGGACGAAAGUCUGACGGAGCAACGCCGCGUGAGUGAUGAAGGUUUUCGGAUCGUAAAGCUCUGUUGUUAGGGAAGAACAAGUGCAAGAGUAACUGCUUGCACCUUGACGGUACCUAACCAGAAAGCCACGGCUAACUACGUGCCAGCAGCCGCGGUAAUACGUAGGUGGCAAGCGUUGUCGAUCGAUAUUGGGCGUAAAGGGCUCGCAGGGCGUUUCUUAAGUCUGAUGUGAAAGCCCCCGGCUCAACCGGGGAGGGUCAUUGGAAACUGGGAAACUUGAGUGCAGAAGAGGAGAGUGGAAUUCCACGUGUAGCGGUGAAAUGCGUAGAGAUGUGGAGGAACACCAGUGGCGAAGGCGACUCUCUGGUCUGUAACUGACGCUGAGGAGCGAAAGCGUGGGGAGCGAAUAGCG
rnacentral:rRNA from 1 species